rnacentral:rRNA from 1 species
AAUGAACGCUAGCUACAGGCUUAACACAUGCAAGUCGAGGGGCAGCAUGACGGAAGCUUGCUUCCGUUGAUGGCGACCGGCGCACGGGUGAGUAACGCGUAUCCAACCUGCCCUUGUCCAUCGGAUAACCCGUCGAAAGGCGGACUAACACGAUAUACCGUUCACAGCAGGCAUCUAACGUGAUCGAAAUGUGAAGGAGAAGGAUGGGGAUGCGUCUGAUUAGCUUGUUGGCGGGGUAACGGCCCACCAAGGCGACGAUCAGUAGGGGUUCUGAGAGGAAGGCCCCCCACAUUGGAACUGAGACACGGUCCAAACUCCUACGGGAGGCAGCAGUGAGGAAUAUUGGUCAAUGGGCGAGAGCCUGAACCAGCCAAGUAGCGUGCAGGAAGACGGCCCUAUGGGUUGUAAACUGCUUUUAUACGGGGAUAAAGUGAGCCACGUGUGGCUUAUUGCAGGUACCGUAUGAAUAAGGACCGGCUAAUUCCGUGCCAGCAGCCGCAGUAAGAC